rnacentral:rRNA from 1 species
ACGGGCAGCUCAAGUGGUGGCCAUUAUUAUUAGGCCUAAAGCGUUCGUAGCCGGUUUGCUCAGUCUCUGGUGAAAUCCCGCAGCUUACCUGUGGGACUUGCUGGAGAUCCUAUUAGACUUGAGGUCGGGAGAGGUUAGGGGUACUCCCAGGGUAGGGGUGAAAUCCUAUAAUCCUGGGAGGACCACCUGUGGCGAAGGCGCCUAACUGGAACGAACCUGACGGUGAGUAACGAAAGUGAGGGGCGCGAACCG